rnacentral:rRNA from 1 species
AAACCAGCACCUCAAGUGGUCAGGAUGAUUAUUGGGCCUAAAGCAUCCGUAGCCGGCUCUGUAAGUUUUCGGUUAAAUCUGUACGCUUAACGUACAGGCUGCCGGGAAUACUGCCGAGCUAGGGAGUGGGAGAGGUAGACGGUACUCGGGAGGAAGUGGUAAAAUGCUUUGAUCUUUCGAUGACCACCUGUGGCGAAGGCGGUCUACCAGAACACGUCCGACGGUGAGGGAUGAAAGCUGGGGGAGCAAACCGGAUUAGAAACCCCGGUAGUCC